GUUGAGGCCAGAAAUCAGUAGCUUGGGGAGGAGAAAAAGCAAUUUCGGUUGUUGGAUUAGGAUGAAAGAAGGAGGACGCGAUUGUGUUCCUGAGUUUUUGCGGAUGAGGCUUGGUGAAGGCUGGAUUGGAAUGGCAUACGCGUGACACUCUGUUAUUCUGAACCUGGACCCUUUUGGACUUUUUAUGGAUAUUAACAAAUGAAUAAAGUGAUAAAUGAGAAAAUAAAAAUAAAA
rnacentral:lncRNA from 1 species